UGAAUGAUACUUUGAAGGUUAUUCUUGAUGCCACUGAGUUUGGAGUUGGGAAGAGAGGCAGCAACUGGCUCUUGCAAGUUGGUGUGAAGUGGCUCCACACUAAUACCCCAAGGCUUGUAAUGGUCCCCCACGCUGGUUGGGCUCUUGCCACAAAGAGCAAGAGAAGGCAACUUCUCCAUGGCUGGAUGUGCAAAAAAGCAACCCUGGAGGCCAUCUGGAAAAGGCAGC